rnacentral:rRNA from 1 species
UACGUAGGGUGCAAGCGUUAAUCGGAAUUACUGGGCGUAAAGGGCGCGUAGGCGGCCUUCUAAGUCGAACGUGAAAUCCCCGGGCUCAACCCGGGAACUGCGUCCGAGACUGGAAGGCUCGAAUCCGGGAGAGGGAUGUGGAAUUCCAGGUGUAGCGGUGAAAUGCGUAGAUAUCUGGAGGAACAUCGGUGGCGAAGGCGGCAUCCUGGACCGGUAUUGACGCUGAGGCGCGAAAGCCAGGGGAGCAAACGGG